UGGCAGCCCUACCAGGCCGACAGAACGCGACCGCCUCCAAGCGCCGUCGCCUUCGACGGCCGGCCCGACGGGGGACUCCCCGUCCCUAUCCGCCCCGUCCCAGAGGCGCGAAACUAAUAAAACGGAAAAGGUGAGUCAGUCUGUCCUCCUCCGACACCACGCCACCUUCCGUCCUCCUUGCGCUUUCUUUCUCCUGUUCCUUGUCCGAGGGGGGUGGCGCAAUGAUCGACCGGCCACGCCACGCCACGCCAUCAGCGUCCGUCCCCUGACCGCGCCGCGCAAGGUAGGAGCCGUGCAGAGGAAUCAGGCGCCUCCUUUUUGGUUUAGAGGUGGUGAAAAACCGACGGGAACCGGGUUGCUUUCGCGGUGUGCGUAUGCUGGGCCGUUUGUUGCCUUGCUGCCGGCGAGGGCGUGAGGUCUGUCAGCUACUACGGGAAAAGGGGAGAGAGAGAUCGUUGGAAAUUUGGUCGGCAGCGUGAAUUCGUUUACCCCAGUUUAAUGUGUUGAUUUUGUUUUUACUGAACGGUAGAAAGAAACAGUAAUUUCUAUUGCUUUCUUACUAGCCUAAAAUGACCUCAUGACCGGUUAUUCUGAUCGAAUUAAGUCGAAUGCCUUUGAAUAUUGCAUCUUAUGCUCUAUUAAGAGCAAAGUAUAAUGGCAGAUUAUAAGGUGACUAUAAACUGACGUAUGUGAGCCAGACUCCUCUAGUAAACUUAAGCUUAUAUGCCAAUAUUUGAAUUUUUAACCUUAAUAUUGAAGUUAGUUUUGAUUUUUUUCAUGAUAGUUUAUUUUCAGCAUAGCUUUUUAGAUAGCUAUGAACACAUACAAAAAGUUCUAUUCACAGAUUAUUUUCGGGUUGCAAAUAUGUUGUUUGACCUUUUGCUUUAAAAAUCCAAAAGAUAACCCCAGAAUGAAAAAAGUGGGGUUGACAGCUAGCUCUAUACAUGAUAUAACAAAAAUGCAUUCAACCUAUAUAAGAGAGAAAGAAAUAAAAAGUUAGCCAAUCUAUUAACCUUAUAGUUAAUCUAUUAUAUGUAUAACUCUAAUGUGAGUUUAUAACUAGUAAGUUAACUCUACUAUUAAACUUGGUUUUAUCGAUUGUCAUCGUUAAAUUUGGCAAUUGGAAAAGCCUGUAGACCUGGCUGCAAGAUUUCCAUUAAAUCAUUACGGUUGACAAAAGCUUGGAUGUCAUCAGUUAGUGGAGUUUGCUAUCCGUACACAGUACACACUAACAAUUCAACUAACACCAACAUGACUCAAAUGACAGUGAAUUCUAAUUGGUGUUUAAGCACCAAUAGUCAAUAGUUUAGUAGACAUUUAGUGAGGUCUGGCAGCAUUAAAAUACUCCAAUUAGAGCUACAAAUAGUCUAAAUGCCUGCUACAUGUUUAACCUGUUACUAGUGAAAAUAGUCUAAAAUGGUUGGAGCUACAUGCUGGUACUAGUGAAAAGAGUAAACAUAAAUAAGAAACGCGUUGGAAGAAGAUUAUUUAACUCAGGCUAGGAGCAUGGAGAGAUUGGUGGUUAAAAUUAUGCCACUAAAAGAGGCAAAGUUGUGUUAGUAUUGAAGGAAUGAUCUGUAUAUUGAAGUCUGCUUUAGCAGGAACUUGAUUUAACAUCAAACAAUGCAAACAAAUUAUAUCUUGGGACUCAACAAAGUGACAGCGAUAACACUUAAUAGUCAAAUCAGGUGUAAAAUGACUAAGCAUCAUGACCACCAAUGUAAUACAUGAAUGGCACUAAAUAAUCAACAAUUUGCUGAUACCAUUUAUCUUACAAUUCUGAACAGUUUGGUAACACACUAACACCAUACAGUUUAAUGAUACCAUGCAUUUGCAUGUAUUAGCUGGGUUUGGAACUAUAGUGAUAAUAAAGUAAUAAUGCAAAUAGAGUUCCUCAAAAAACUAUGCUAAUAGUGUGACAGAAACUGGAAGGGACUGUUUAAGUUGGAUUCAUUUGGAUUACAUAUUUCACGAUUAUGAAGACCCUAGCAUUGUUACUAUAAUAUUUACUACAGUAUGGAAGUGAUAUUCCAUCUCAUAGCCCGUAGAAUUUGGUUUGGCUGGAAUUAGCUUCAACAUUCCAGAUAUUGUCAUGUGGAUUAUUUUUGAAUCAACGACCCCAAACUUGUAGCAAGUGACUGUAGCAUGAAGUACUCUUACAGUCUUACAUCAAUCCUUCUGCAAGAAUAUGUAGUAUCUCUUUUUCAUUGUAAUGUUGGUGUAGAAAGGACCAAAACCUAGGGGGCUCACACAGUUUUAAUGCAACAGGACUCUCCUAAAGAAUAUGUGUUGAUAAAUGGAUAAUAUUAAACUAGCAUUAUGCUGUCCCUGGUAAAAAACAUCUGAGCAACUGUAGUGUUGCUGACAUACUAGCUGCAAGUACUGUAACUUCAAUUCAAAUCCACCUGUACGCAUCCUUUAUUUAGAACUGAUUUUAAUCAUGUGACUGCGGUUUGAAGAAUAUUGAGUACAAAAACUGUUACAAUGUAGAGUUAGCUAGAACUACCCCAUGCAUCAAUAUAGCUAGGGGCAAUUUUGAAAGAAUAUGAGGGUAGUUGCUAAAAAUGGUAAUCAUGAGUCCAGUGCAAUCUGCUGUAGGAAAUGAUGUUGUUAAAAUUUGGGAUCCCUUAAGUGAUUUUAUCAGUAUAUGUUAUAUGCAUCAAUGUUUAGUAUUAUCUCAGUUUUAUUAUGUAACUUUAUUUCAUAUCCUUAUUGGUUUGCCAAUUACAACAAUUCAGUUGGACUAUUGUACUAAAAUGUUACAUUUAGUCAGCCCGGAUGUAUAAAUAUUUUUCUGACAGUGUUUCGUGAACUAUUCUCAAUGAACAUUUGUUACCGUUUUCUGUUUUGUUUGUUCACUUCAGUUUUUUAUUUUGUCGUAACUAGUAUUUUUGAAUAAUAUCAAAGAUUUGUUUUUUCCUUUUCUGUUAUACAUGUGUACUUUCUGCAUUAAGACAGUUCUUUCUGUUGUCAAGAAAAAAAAAAGAAAUUUUGGUAUUUUGGACAUAUAAGCCUUUCAAUCUUUAAUUGUUUGUUGUUGCUACAUUGAACAGAAAAGUAUGAUCGGAAUUAAGGGGUGUUUGAAAGGAACCAAACAUGUCAAAUCGUUAUUCUACAGGAUUUUUUUUUAUCAACAAGUGUCAUACAAUUGGUAUUGAUUACGAUUUACAGAAUAAAAAUCAAGCCCCAAAUUAUACUUCCCUGUUAUCCAUACUAAAGGUUGUGUUCAUAAUUACUACUACUACUUCCUGGUUCUACCGAACUUCACUGGAGCCUGAAAUCAUGGGUACUCCUUUCUGUGUAUCUUAAAGUAAGAGUUGCGCGCGACACACACAUAUAAAGUAAUAGAAAAAAACCCUAAACCCUAAAAUAAAACCACUACGCUCAUUCUUAUGAGCUAGAAAAAUCUCAUGUUAAUCAAAAACAAAAAGAAUCCAAUUUGAAAUAUAAUACGGAAUUACAAAUUUAAAAAUAAUAAAAAAGAGUCCAUGUGUAAAUAUAGUUUAGAAAAAUCCAAAUCUCGGAUUAAAAAUUUUAAAAUAAUUGAUAUUAAGGGAAGAUUUCAUUUAUAAAUAAAAUUUGGAAAUAUCUAGAUUCUUGUUAAAAGGAAUCCGAUUAUAAAUAUAAUUUAGAAAAAAUCCAAAUCUUGGAUUAAAACUGUUAAUAAUUGAUAUUGAGGGAAGAGUGCAUCUUAAUUUGAAUUACAAAAAUACUAUGCAGAAAAAAGUUUAUGUACGAGUACAGUUUAGAAUGCUGGUAAAUGAGAUUAUAUGUAAAAAUAUAAUCUAGAAAAAAAAAUAAAUUCGAAUUAAUAAUUAAAAAAAUACUACGAAGAUAAGAAUAUAUAUAUAUAGCAGCGUAAUAUGUGCGGACCACCAUACUAGUUUGAAUAUUAAAAGCACUAAAAUGUUCAGAUAAGGUCCUUUCGAUUUUUUUACCAUCAUAUGACGACCGAAACGUACCAUGAGACUUUCUAUCACCACGACAUAUAAGAUACUUAGAUUUCUUUUAUCAUGGCCAAAACAAUCUCCUUCAUAAUUGCACGCAGAUCUUCCCUAUUUUUACUUUAUAUUAAUUAGGAUUUCCCUUGACACAAUGUUCUUCAUGUAGCUUUAUUUUUCCUUUCUACAAUAUUUCAUAUAUAGCGGCAAAGCCAGCUCCCAGGCUUAUCUAGCGGCUGGCCCGGCCCCCAUCGUUGGCGUCAUUACUGCCUAUUAGCAGAAACUCCUAUAAACGUUGUCGAUAAAUGGUCCUUAUCACCCAGGCUUGAGGGUGUUGUUGGAUUGGCUCUUCUACUGUUCAUAUGUUAUAACCUAUGCCUCUGGUUUUCUGACUAAGUGGAUUCUGCAUAUGUAGGUACCCACUGUAGAUGGAAAGCCAAUGAUAAAUGCAAGCCUAUGGGAGAUCUAGCCAAGGGGUAUGAACAGAAAAAGGCAAAGACUAAUUGUUGAGAUCUGCGUAAUUCUGAUUACAAACCAAUUCAUAUCAACCUCAAAAAGAAAGCAAUAAUGUCUUGUUUUUUUUCUGUUACAAGUUUGAAGCUCAAGGGUGAUUAUUUAUCUUUUUCACGACAUAUUGGCAAACGGAAAAAUAAUUUAUAAAUAAAACUUUUAUAUAUGUAGUAAUAAACACCUGGGUCCAGCUAGGCCAGACGUUCACAAACUUUUGCUGAUUAAACUCUUGGGCUUUUCUUUAAGUCUGCGCAGUAGUGGCUGUCAAAAAGUAAAGCUGUAAAACUGAACCGCAUGGGAAACCAGCUCGCUGACAACCCAAUCGCUCACAUCCCCACGAAAAGGCGGAGCAAAUACACCUGCAUAAUCUUUUCCUGUUGGAAUUUAGUUCAGUAAUAAACUUGUACCUAGGAAUCGCAUUACCAUGUUGAUUUUAUUCUGGAUGGCGUCAAGCAUGUCGUAUUUUCGAUUCUGGCUAUCCAUUUGAGUCAUUUUGCAUGUUAAUCAUGGUAAACUAAAGUAAGAACUGGUUUGUCCAACUGUUCUUUCUGGCAGCACUUGUAAAAAAGCAAGAAAAAUAAUGCAGCACUCGAAUUUCAUGACGUUGUCACUUUCAGAUUUGUUGUCGCCAUGUCCUUCUUUCGUAAUGUCUUUUUAAAAUAUUUUUACUCUUUGUCUGAGUUCUUUUUAGAGCACGUUGGAGGCUAUGAAUGUGCAUAACUAGUACAAUAAGGUCCUUAGACAAACUUUUCCUUGCUGAUGUUAUUGUUUGAAUAGCUGUCUUGAGAAAAAGCUGUGCGGUUGUUGAUCCAGAUUCAUGUCCAUGUCGUAAGGGAGCUUUCUUGAGUAUUUGAAAUUUAGUCGGCGAGGCAUGACAGCUGUUUAACCGGUUGUAUUUUACGUUAUCAGGCGCACUAUUGCAUACUGCAGAGCAUGUGUUAGUGCUACAAGCUAGAGGCCCCCAACCCUCAAGCUUACACUUACUGAUCCUUGCCCAGCUCAACCUGUUAACUUUUUGGCUCAUCCAAUCGCUUGUCCAUACGCAGGUACGUUCUGCAAUAGUUAUCCUCAUAAAGUCUGGCCCUCUCUCUUUUUUUCUGGUUUCAAGUAAUCCACAUGUGAACCUCAAUUUGAUGCCUAAAACGAGGGUUUUCCAUUGGCUCAAGCUCAACAAGUUGCACUUUUCUUGUGAUGGAAGAUAUGUACCUACCGUUGGUAGGCGUCGAUUGCGAUGUUAGCAUGUACUGGACCGUGUGAUCUGUGUAGCAAUCGGGUAAAGGUUCAUCAGGCGGGUAUUAUUCGAUGCAUUUUAC
rnacentral:lncRNA from 1 species